rnacentral:rRNA from 1 species
CCUACGGGAGGCAGCAGUGGGGAAUAUUGCACAAUGGGGGAAACCCUGAUGCAGCGACGCCGCGUGAGUGAAGAAGGAUUUCGGUACGUAAAGCUAGAUCAGCAGGGAAGAAAAUGACGGUACCUGUCUAAGAUGCCCCGGCUAACUACGUGCCAGCAGCCGCGGUAAUAAGUAGGGGGCAAGCGUUAUCCGGAUUGAAUGGGGGUAAAGGGAGCGUAGACGGCAGCGCAAGUCUGAAGUGAAAUCCCAUGGCUAAACCAUGGAACUGCGUAGGAAACUGUGCAGCUGGAGUGCAGGGGAGGCAAGCGGAAGUCCUAGUGUAGCGGUGAAAUGCGUAGAUAUGAGGAGGAACACCGAUGGCGAAGGCAGCUUGCUGGACUGUAACUGACGUUGAGGCUCGAAAGCGUGGGGAGCGAACAGGAUUAGAUACCCUUGUAGUC